CACACACAGGCACCUGUGCCCAAAUCCGGGCGAUGAUCCAGAAAUUAAGCGCCCAGGUCUGUCUCUAAUUGCACGUUUCAGCAGCGCCGCCCACCUAAUACAUCACUCUCUGAUGUGAAGGGAGGGGGAAAUUGCAGCCAGCCAGUCUGGUCUUUCCUCUGGAAAGGUUGGGAGAUGUCAGAGGAGUGGCAGCAGCAAGUCGUCUCACGUGAACCCGGAGGUGCUCUGUGGUUCCCCAAGGGGCGGAGCCUGCGCUGCUGGGGUCUGGGAUGGAGGGGCUUUGCACUGGACCACCUGAGCUAUCCAGGGUGUGGGGCUCCAUAGAGGCCCAGAUAGGGGCUCAGGGACCUCCAGCCAGGGCAGAAGAGCUCAGGGGUGGUUUCCUGGCUCUCUGCAGUGAGUAGGGUGUUAGAAGGCACCAAAACAAGGCCCCUCCCCCUUGGAUCUGCAGGACAUGGGCUGGUCGUAUGUCAGCUGUUGCUGCCACAGAAGUCAGGCUUCCAGGGGUGGAGUGAGCCCUGGGGUGACCUGGUGAUUCUGCAGCCACUGUGACAAGGCAUGGAGUGUCUUACGGGUCCCCUGCGGUCCAGUGUUAGAGCACCAAGUUACGUAACCCAUGUGACCCUGGGCUUCCCAACACGGCGCAGGCUUUCCCGUAGACCCUCCUUCACGCUGGAGCCCCUUUGACAGGAAGGGUGAGAUCAAAGGAAUCCUUCUCUCCAUGAGGAAUGCCGGCGCUUGCAGCAGCUGCUCUGCGAGGGCCCGCAUGUUUGCAGACCCGGACCUCAGGAAGGGAAUGCAGGUGACCACAGCAGCGCAUUCGGGAAGGUUCGGGGCCAGCUGGCGGCCACAUGAGGAGCCUGCCCUCCCAGACUUUACACAGCCUGCGUCACUGGCAUUAUCAUGUUCAUCACUUCUACUGAUGGGGCUGAGUCUCCAACCAAUAAUUGGGCUGCAUCUCCCGAGGUCGGUCAAGUGGCUUCUCCGAAAUCACCCUGCAGGGUCCCUGAACUGACAUUAAUCAGCUUCAGCCUCAGCUAUCUCCUGGACUGGGUCACCUGUAUCCGAGGCUCCCAGCUUCAGCCAGACUCAGGCCUCUGAUAUUCCUCAGCUCGCCCUGGUCAUUAACCAGACUUUCUCUCUACUCAUGAGCCAGCCUCAGGCAUCUAAAUGUGAGUCCUUCCCACUUCUGUGCUCACAGAAGUUGAAGCGGGGCGCUGUGGGGAACCAAUCUCUUGUUUUUGAUGAGAUAUUUUCCCUGUGAAAUGGCCUGCACAUUGCCUUCCAUUUCCAGGAGCAACGGUCCAUCUGCCUGUCAGAAAGAAGACCCAGACACAGUCCCGGAUGCAACCAUGACUCUCAGCACCAAGGCAUCCCCCCUUCAGCGUUCAGAAUGUGAGUCCAUGCUUUUCAGACACUGACAUCUGAGUCUGUCCAUCAGCAGCAAAGCAGCCUCCUUAAGUAGCUCCCACAGGACCCGGACACACACACACACACACACACACACACACACAUACACACACACACACACACGCGCGCAUCCAACCCCAUCAGCAGCAAAACAGCCUCCUUAAAUAGCUCCCGCAGGACCCAGACACACACACACACACACACACACACACACGUGUCCAACCCCGUGGCAGUGAUUUAGAAGCCAAACCCCAGGUACCUCUCAGUCAAAUAUUUCAGGAGUGCCGGCAACCAAGUAAUCACCCUAGAUUCAAAGUGAGGAGAGAAACUGCAGCUUCCAACCUCUUUAAAAUUGCCAGAGGAUGUCAAAGGCAUGGAGUGGGGUGGGCGGUCUCAGUUCUGUUACCAACGCUGUGAGUGACCCGUGUCCUUCAUGGGGAGCUGAGCCUGGGACUGCUGUGCAUGCAGGGUGGGAAAUCCAGACUGAUGGCCUGAGUCCUCCAGCAGCGCGUGGGGUGCAGAGCCCCAGGGGUCAAGGGCAGGGCUUCGGGAUUAUUGAUCUUCGAGGACAGAUCCAAGGCUGGGUCACCCUCUCAGGGGGUGGCUGUCCUGGGUUUACCUGCAGUGCCUGGGGGUCUGACAGCCCUAAAACAAGCCCCCUCUACCUCUUAGAUCUGGGCUCAGGGCACCUUUCAGUACUGGGGCUGUUGCUGCCAUGGGCAUCUGGGCUCCUGGGUUAAAAACGGAAUGGGCAGUUUUUCAAAUUUUGAUAAGUGCUGUCGGUUUGAUGACAUAUCACAAUGGCCACAGGUAAUGGAAUCCACAUAGGGGCUUCACUUCUCAUCAUUCCAGCACCCCCCACCGUGUGUGGAAAUGCACCUUCUCUUCUCCUGGGAGACGUUCCUCCCAUCCAACUGUCUGGUUCCAGGAAGAUACUGUGCUCAUACAUGACUCCGCCCCCAUAGCCACCACUGAUUGGUCUAUGGGUGGUCACCUCACCCCAGAUUGGCCUUUCUGGGACUUUUCAAACUGGAACUGACAUGAAGCCAAGAGGAGGAAGAGACCGCAUGUUUUCUGGCAUAUGGAGAAGGCUGAUCUACCAUGACAAAGAGUUAAGACAAUCUCAUUAGAAGGCAGAGGAGGUGGGGCUGGACCACCCAGGGCCGGCUGCUCUGACGCUCACCUGCACAUCUGACCUGCUCUUUGGCUGCACAACCUGAGUCCAAGAGCAGACCCACAGGGCUCCCUGCAGAGAGUUCAAAGCAGAGGCUAUUUACAGAGGUCCAAGUAGGGGUGGGGAACCUGCAUCCCACGAACUGGAUAAGCAGGGAAACUGUUAUCCACCACAAGCCCCAGGGCACAGGUGUGGGGCUUUGUUUCUGGAAUGCAGGGAGGGUUGUAACUCUGGGAGAGGGGUCACCUGGCAGGAUCUGAGAUCUUAUUUGGGGAAAAACUUCACUGCUAAACAUCAGUCAGGCAGGGGCAAUACCUGCUCCAACUUCUGUCUUCUCCCAUCUUAGGCUUCUCCUGGGGACUCUCAUCAGUCAAAUCCAACAGAAUCCAGAGGGCAGGGAGCCCCACUGGUGCCAUUUAUAGAGGUCAGCCUGUGGGCACAGUGAGGUCAGAGAAGGGCACGGAAUCGAUGCAGAGGGGCAGUCAAAGAGUAACUUGUGCAAAACAACCCUUCUUGGAUUCCUUGAGUCAGUAAAUGUUCCCAUUGGUCUUAGCAUUUCUGAGUUGCAUUUCUCUUAUUUGACUCCAAAACUCCUGUUCUGUAAGUAACUCCCCAAAGACAGUAAGUUUCUCAAACCAGUUACUAAAUCAAGUAUAGGGGCUGGUGAAGCUAAGUGAUGCUUGUUGCAUGGCUAGAUGAGAAGGCGAGAAAGCACUGUGGAGGCUCCAUCAAUGUUAGAUAGAUGCUGCCCUGGUUUCAUCAUCUGCUACCUACCCUUAGGCAGUUUCUUUGUUAAAGCAUCUUAUGAUCUUGCCCAAGAUUACCUGUGAUAGAGUAUGAAGGCCCUUGGUGGCACAACCCCUCUUUUCAUGGUCUUUUAUAAAACCAGCUGCCCAGCAGUGCCUGAGACUGAGCAGACAUUCAAUUCAUGUUGUUUGAAUGAAGGGACAGACGAGUUGAUGAUGGAUAGAUGAUGAAUGGAUGGAUGGAUGGACGGAUGGGUAAGUAAAUGGAUAGAAGAGGAAAUGGAUAAAUAAGUAAAUGAGUAGAUGGGUGGAUGGGUGAUGGAUGAAUGACAAAUUGAUGGAUGCAUGAAUGAGUAGAUAGAUGUGUGAAUGACAAAUGGAUGAGUAUGUGGGUGGGUGAAUGAAUAAAUAAAUGGGUAGAUUGGUGGAUAGGUGAAUGAAUGGAUGAUGAAUGUACAGACAUGUGGAUGGGUGAAUAAUUGGGUGGAUGAUUGAUAGAUGCUAGCGACUGUUUCCACACCAUCAGGAAGCCAUGUGCCCUCUAAGAUAAUUAGGGGCUGAGACUUCAGAAAGUCAGUGUCCCAACUCAUCUCUGUGAGCCUUCCAGCUCCACUCCCAUCCUCCAGCAACUUCCCCCUGGGAGGACCUUGACCACGAGAAGUCCUUAUUUCAUAAUCUCACCAAGAUGAGCAGCUGACCAUCCCUGGAGGGCUUCACGUUGAGUAAUUGCACUUAUAGUUCCAAAACAUCCUCUUGAACUGAGCUUUGCCAAGGGCUGUUUCUAACUGUAGUUCAUAUUUUGUUGCAUAAGUUUAACAAGUGCUGGUCUCUCCUAGUUUUAGUAUGGAAGUCUGUGGAUCUCAGAGCAGCUCAAUUGGCAAUUAAAAUCCAGGAAGUGGUGAGGUGUCUAGUGUGUGCUGAUGUGGAGAAUGAAUGGACCCAGGAGAAGUCAGGUGAAGGGUCCUUCACAGUGGACCUGAACCAAGGCGCCUAUUCAAGCUCAGACUCUCACUCACUAUGGGGGACUUUAAAGCAGGCAUUUAACAAUCACCUUUUCACCUUUUAAGAACAAACUAG
rnacentral:lncRNA from 1 species